rnacentral:piRNA from 1 species
UGUAAAGCUAUAAACGACGUUGCCAAA